UUUUUUUGAUUUCAUAGGGUGCGAGAAUUGUGGCUGGAAUGGCCAAGUGGCUGUCUCCUGCCACAAGACUGCGGCGGAAGGAGCAGCCACAAAGGCUGAAGCCGCAGUAGCAGCAGCUUUAGCUUUGGCUAAAGUCCUAAAGGCCUUGAUAGUCCGCAAGCUCCGUCGGUAGAGAUUACCGCACAAAUAAAAUAUUGCUUACCGUACCGUCCAUAGAAAAGUAGUGCUAAGACAUCCAAGCCCUGGACUUCAUAAAUAUAGGUACAAUUUAAAAUGCAACAUGUCAACAUUCAACAAAACUUUACACAUGUGGUUGAAGCUGAUGAAUUUCUAUCGCUAUCAUCUGAACAGUUAGUUAAGUUGAUCCCCAGUGAUGAGCUUACGGUGCUAACCGAAGAAAAAGUAAGCA